GACGUAGGGCGCGAGCGUUGUCCGGAUUUAUUGGGCGUAAAGAGCUCGUAGGCGGCUCGUUGCGUCGGCUGUGAAAACCCGCAGCUCAACUGUGGGCUUGCAGCCGAUACGGGCGGGCUGGAGUUCGGUAGGGGAGACUGGAAUUCCUGGUGUAGCGGUGAAAUGCGCAGAUAUCAGGAGGAACACCGGUGGCGAAGGCGGGUCUCUGGGCAGUAACUGACGCUGAGGAGCGAAAGCGUGGGGAGCGAACAGG
rnacentral:rRNA from 1 species